CCUACGGGAGGCAGCAGUGGGGAAUAUUGCGCAAUGGGGGAAACCCUGACGCAGCAACGCCGCGUGAGUGAGGAAGGACUUCGGUCUGUAAAGCUCUGUUAAUGUGGAAAAAUGUUAGUUGGUCUAAUAGGCCGAUUAAUUGAUGGUACACAUAGAGGAAGCACCGGCUAACUUCGUGCCAGCAGCCGCGGUAAUACGAAGGGUGCAAGCGUUGUUCGGAUUUAUUGGGCGUAAAGCGCGCGUAGGCGGACCUGCAAGUCAGAUGUGAAAUCUCGGGGCUCAACCUCGAAACUGCGUCUGAAACUACAGGUCUAGAAUCUUGGAGGGGGAAGGGGAAUUUCUCAUGUAGGGGUAAAAUCCGUAGAUAUGAGAAGGAACACCAGAGGCGAAGGCGCCUUCCUGGACAAGUAUUGACGCUGAGGCGCGAAAGCGUGGGGAUCAAACAGGAUUAGAUACCCUGGUAGUCCACGCUGUAAACGAUAGAACACUAGAUAUAGUCGAGUAUUAGUACCGUACCGCAGUGUGUAGACGUACGACGUAGUAGUUCCGUCCGUCGGAGGUAACGGUCGUCGAGAACGUAAACGUUAACUUAAGUAGUUAGUUAGUUACGGCGUUGAGACGACGACCGACGGACGACGACGAGGGAGGAGG
rnacentral:rRNA from 1 species